rnacentral:rRNA from 1 species
UACGUAGGGUGCGAGCGUUAAUCGGAAUUACUGGGCGUAAAGCGUGCGCAGGCGGUUAUGCAAGACAGAUGUGAAAUCCCCGAGCUCAACCUAAGAACUGCAUUUGUGACUGCAUAGCUAGAGUACGGUAGAGGGGGAUGGAAUUCCGCGUGUAGCAGUGAAAUGCGUAGAUAUGCGGAGGAACACCGAUAGCGAAGGCAAUCCCCUGGACCUGUACUGACGCUCAUGCACGAAAGCGUGGGGAGCAAACAGG